AACCCCUUGUGGCGGGGUCAUGCCACAUACCUCCCUGUUGGACUUGGCCGGGCCUUCGUGCCCGGCUUUUUUU
rnacentral:ncRNA from 1 species